rnacentral:lncRNA from 1 species
UUGUAUGUCUAACUAAGAAGAUAGAGGUAACCACACCAUUCAUUAGUUCUCUGUAACCGUAACGUGAAUAUGUGUAUCUUCAGUUUGUUCCCCACCCCCCUUUCUUUUUCUUCCCCUUUGUUAGGUACCCCCAAAUUUCUCUUUCUUUUUUCAUUUCUACCUCCCAUGCCCUUUUCUAUUUGUACAACCUGCAUGGAAGAGGAAGUGCAGCAAGCAAAAUCAUGGAUUCACCAUGACGACGGACCUGUCAGUGUUAUUUUGUAUAGCAGCUCACAAACUGAGGAUGUCGAGGUUCCAGAAACCUUAAAGCCUGUUGUAAAUUAUAGCAGCUCCUCUGCCUUUUGUCGUUGUAACUUGUAUCGCGGUAACAGUAGUAGAAUGUUUGGUAGCAGAUUAUCUAUUGCAGGUUCCCAGGCCACCAAUGGGAACAUCUAACCUAACACUACAGGGUAGUAGAUGAUGACAGGUUCCUGGUACACCGACUUCAUUUACCUACACGUUUGCGGUCACCCUUUCAAGAGAUAUGGUGACGCUUUCUUGAUAUGUCAAUGUUUUUCAGUUCUAUGAAAUGUGUGGGUUGUCUACUUUUUACUGCUCAUUAUAGUGCUGGAACUGUGUGGUUUUUGUUGAUUCUAGUGAUGCUCUAAGGUGUUUAUGCACAUGGAGGUUGUCGCCUUUCGGUGCAUGAGUGAAUCUUGGCACACUUAGCUGAUGUUGAUGGCUGAACAUACUUUUGUCCUCAAAGAAUGUAUACAACUAGCUUAGUUGGGCCAUACACCAUCAUCCCGCGUUGCUUAGGUUGAC